AGAACACAGGAGCCCCGGACCGCAGACACGACCACCCGUACCUAGCCGCCGACACACACGGGGACGUGCCGAGGACUGCGUGAAAACAGACCACGGGGUUCUAGCCGUGCCCGCCGGCCACCGGAAGCCAUCAGGCAAACGACGGAGGAAGCACAGAAGAGGCCGAGGAGAUGACGACAGAUAGCAGCUUCUAAAGAGCUCGGCAUUCCAGAGGCUGGGGUGUGCCUCCGAGAGCGGAGGAGCCUCAGCAUCUGAUCUUCCAGGAAAAAGCCAGGCCUGCGGCCACAGGGGAUGACAGCCGAGACAUGUCUGCAGGAAGGCGAGAGCGGCAAAUCCACAGCGCGGGCCAAUCGAUGGCAGGCGCUGGAGGCCGUCCUGGGGGCACGGCAGGGGACAGGGGACAGGGAGCGAGGACAGUGAUUCAUGCCGCUGAGCCUGCCAGCACCGAGGGGGAGGACAGGCGCUCGCCUUGGCUAGGGCAAAUAUUAUUUUUAAAAGUCUACGAAAGAAAACAACAAUAAAACAACUCAGGCUC